GCGGGAAGGGGCCUGCGCUCACCUGUGGCUGCCGGCGGGAAGACGCCGCCUCUCUCCGCCGCCGGAGCCCUCGCUGGCAGACGGCCGCCGUCCGCCACGGAGGGGUUAAGCACUUGAAAAGCCCAUCUUGUCGGGUGGAAUGACUGUAAUCUAUUUUCAAAGGAAGGACAGUGUAAUUGCCAGUUUGAUACUAGAAAUUGAGCACUUUGCCUACACAAUUCUGGCAUCAUCUUUUGUAUAAGUCUGAAGAAAGCUAUGAAGUUGAGCAGUGCUGUCAGAUAGAGUAUGGACCUUUGAAACACAGCCGUGAGGGUCCCAUGCCAUGUGUAAGAUUUUAGUACCUUAUUUCCUGCAUCUGUGGUGGGUGUGCAGCAAACACUCAGUUUAGCUUCUCCAGUCUCACCAAGGACUUGUCCCUAGGCGCCUGGAAGUGAAAUUCUGGUGAACCCAAUGGAAUCCACAGCAAAGAUGCAGCUUAUUCCAAGUAACUAUUUCGUCUAAUAUAAAAAUGUUAUCCUGAAAAAUGUUGGAAGAAUAAUGUCACACACAGCCUCUGCCUGUUUAAGAGUGCCAAUAAAUCCAUACAGGAAACACUAAAAUAGUC